rnacentral:rRNA from 1 species
AUUGAACGCUGGCGGCAGGCCUAACACAUGCAAGUCGAGCGAGCGGCGGACGGGUGAGUAAUGCCUGGGAAUUGCCCAGUCGAGGGGGAUAACAGUUGGAAACGACUGCUAAUACCGCAUACGAUUGGCUUGCCCAGGUGGGAUUAGCUAGUUGGUGAGGUCAUGGAUCACCAAGGCGACGCUCCCUAGCUGGUCUGAGAGGAUGAUCAGCCACACUGUAACUGAGACACGUUCCAGGCUGCGUCGUGACGCAGCAGUGGGGAAGAUUGCACAAUGGGGGAAACCCUGAUGCAGCCAUGCCGCUUGUGUGAAGAACGCCUUCGGGUUGUAAAGCACUUUCAGCGAGGAGGCUUUACUCGCAGAAGAAGCACCAGCUAACUCCGUGCCAGCAGCCGCGGUAAUU